rnacentral:precursor_RNA from 1 species
ACAGUACUGCUCUCAUAACCUUCUCCGCUGUUGAAAAACUUCUCCGCGAGAAGCGGUCAUGAUUCGCCAUUGUCAAGUUAUCAAGCUCACGAGGAAUGCGAUCCCAGGUUGGUCUGAUUGGAUAUAUGAUACGUCUGGGACACGAUGUUCGAGUUGGCACAGGCUAGAAUCGAUUGGGAUGUCGGAAGGAUGCUUGAUAUACUCUUGACUGAUAUUAAUUGUGUAAGUGCAAACCCGUAUUGGAACUUCUCUGGUUAUUUGAGAUACUUUGAUCCUCACAUCACGUAGAUUUAGAACUGUUGUAUCUUUGAGUAAGGAACGGCGCGAUUCCUGAUUAUUGUCCGGAUUGUUGUGGUUUUACAGUACUGGAGGCGCCACCGCAUCAAUUAUUAGUCGCGACAAGACGAAUUCAAGCGCAUGCAAGUUAUUUCAUGGUUUUGUGUGCAUCAGCUUGCAGCAAGCAGAUCCCAGACGUUGACUGGCGGUAGGGGAUGUCUGGUAUCUACUUGCUGCGAUCUGUUUCAGACGGGCUUGACUCACGGGGUAUUUACAGUAUUUAUUACAUUGGAUGGCGUUUCGUCACGCUCCGAAUGCCGAGGGAUGUAUGAAAUGAUCUACUGCAACAAGCAGGUGAACCAGGUGUACUCCAUUUACGUUUCCACUCUUUCUUGCUGAUAUAUGCGAUGGAGGCCUGCACAUGAUCAGUGAAAAUGUCGAUGUUCAGACUGGAGUGUCUAGCAAGGCGGUCCGGUUCGUAAGAUGCUCCUGUCACUGAUACUUUAUUUCCUGCAGAUCCUUCGUGUAUGAACAGGAGGCAUAUUUACGUUCCUGGAUGUCUACUGCCAUGGCUUCACUGUGAUCCUGCAGUCUACUCACAUCGAUAUGUGCAGGAGACAAGAGACAAACACGCUUGGUAGACAGUAGCUGAUCGAAUCGAUAUCGUGUUACCCGCUUUGAUUGCUAAGAAGAAUUGCUCCCGACGAUGAUGCUGCCACUUGUAUCUUAUUGCCUUGCACAUGCGUACAUGAAAUGUUGUGCUUUAGGUCAUUCAUCGCCAUGAGAUACAUGGAAUAUUGUGGAAAGACACUUCAAACUAAUUGCAUAUUUCAGUUUUCCGUCAUCCUAAGUUGCAACCAACUAUGCAUUGCAACGAGCAAUUAAUAACCUUGGUGAUUGAAGUAUAGGAUAAGCCUGUUAUGUCUCACUAGGUAAUGGGAUUCAGGGAUGAAGAUAUGUGGACAUGAGUAGCUUAUCCCAUGGACCUUAGAGCCCACUAAGACCCUAAACAUAAAGGGUUUUCUAUCUUAGUUUUGCCUUAGUCAUUGAAUUAAUUACUCAAGGAUUUCAUCAG